GCAGCCGCGGUAAUACGUAGGUGGCAAGCGUUGUCCGGAAUUACUGGGUGUAAAGGGAGCGCAGGCGGGACAGCAAGUUGGAUGUGAAAUACCGAGGCUCAACCACGGUACUGCAUCCAAAACUGUUGUUCUUGAGUGAAGUAGAGGUAGGCGGAAUUCCGAGUGUAGCGGUGAAAUGCGUAGAUAUUCGGAGGAACACCAGUGGCGAAGGCGGCCUACUGGGCUUUAACUGACGCUGAGGCUCGAAAGUGUGGGGAGCAAACAGGAUUAGAUACCCC
rnacentral:rRNA from 1 species